AGGACACGGGCGAGACCAGGCUAGGUGGGGCGGGUGGGGUGGCGUGAAUGUGCACUCUAGGGGGAAGGGAGGCCAGGGCAGAGGCAGGGGCGAGGGGCCAGAGCCGGGCACCGAGCCAGUGGGAGGGGCAUUGGACUUCGAGCUCGUGGCCAAGGCGGGCCUCUGCGGGCGAUGACGGAGCGGGAUCGGUGCCUCUGAGCUCGGAACGGAGACGGAGGUGAGUGUCCAGCCCGCUGCCCUCCUGAUGCCCUUGGCCACCUCUGCCCACCCAGUCAGCGCCCCCCACCUCUCUCUCUCUGCCCACAGCCACGUCUCCAGUGGGGUGUUGGUGCCUGCCAGCCACGGAGGCCAGGCGGCCAGGACGCGCACAGAGGGAUAUGAUAUGGUCCGGUGUGAUGGAGAGAGCAGGCGGGACCGUCCAGCCUCCCAGGUGAGUGCAGAUGCGGGCGGUGCCCCCACACGGGGCCCGCUGACCCGCACUGAGCCUCAUAGGCGCCUCUCUCCCGUAGGACACUGGCCCCGCGGGGAGCCCGGAUAUCGACGUUCCUUUAGUCUCCUGAAGGAGCAGACACACCACUGCUGCUCUUCAGACACCCAGAACCCUCAAGAUGACAAGAGAUGGUGCUACCCAGCUCAUGCCUGGGACUUGGAACACGGACUUCUUCAAGUCUUCUAGCUCUGACUCAAGAAUAUGCUGCAUUUUGGAACCACUACACACCCUAACUCAGGAAUCAGCUCUGGAAGGUACUGUCCCCUGCGAAGCGCCCCCGCCCCGCCCCCCGGCCC
rnacentral:lncRNA from 1 species